rnacentral:lncRNA from 1 species
UGUAUUCAGUUUGAAUAGGUUUUACAACAAUUACAUUAUUGUGAAGGAUGUAUUACUUUGCUUUGUAAUUGAGUUAUUGUAAGCUAAUUCGGAUAAAAUGGAUUUCGAUUGGCUCAGUUUAUGGUAGAUGAUUGUUGCUACAGUAUUUAGGGAGGACGAUCUUCCAGUUGUAAAACAUUUUGAUUUGAUUUAAUGUUCUUCUGCUCCCUAUUGUUGGAGUCACUUCUUUUCCUUUUUUUCAAUUUAAGUUAUUUCCUUUAUUUUGAACCCCUUAAUGAAAAUUUUGCAUCCGCCACUAAUGGAAGGUAGCUUGAAAAGGUAGAAUAAACUCACUUCAUAGCAUAUGUGCUCAUAAAAGCAAAGGAUCAGGUUCUUAUCUGUGUAAUUAUUGAAACUUAAUGCUUAAAGGAAUUGUUUUUGUUCUCUUAGAAUGAAACUACACACAAAGAUUCUGUGAAUCUAAUAUCUGAUCCUUGAUGUUAUUUCUCCUAUUUUUUAUUGCUGUAAUUUAGGUUUGUAGACCUAAAAAGUGGUUGUAAGUGAUGCAUUAGCUUUUGCAUUUCCCUGUAGGGGCUUAAACAACACUGAUGGAUUGUUAAGAUUGCAUAAUACCCCGUGCGGUUCAAUUUGUUUGUUUGGUUCUGACUUGACAUAGAGUUUAACAAAAUAAAGAAGACUUAUGAAUAGUCUUACACUAAUAUAUACUUUAUAGUCUUAAACAUGUCAUGAGCAGUUAGAGUUAAAGAGUUGUCAAAAAAGAAAAGGUUUUAUGAAGAGUAUGUUCAUUUCUUAAUUUUUGUAUUGGCAAAUUCAAACGACAUUCAGAGUCUGCUUCACAGAGUAACUUUUCCUAUUCCAACUCCGAUGAAUUUAUUUGGUUUGCUUCUAUUGUUGAAUUAUUUGCUAUAGCAUACUUAGAUGUUUCUGAUUAUACGGAAGUUCCUUACUCGAAGAUGGUCCAACUGAAAUGGAUACAGCUUAUGAGACACCUAAUUUAUCAAUAAAUUCCCACCGCAGCAUGCUGAUGGAUAAUGAUCAAGCAAGAAAUUAACAUUCAAAUCUAGAACAUAUGACACGCAACAAUUGUGCUGGUACUGCCUAAUAUUUCUCUGCACAUGCUUUUACUUCACCAGUGGAUUGACGUACUGGAAAAGUUAAUAAUCCUUAUUAACUGUUGGUGUGUUUUGGGGAAGGAAUGGAAGGUGGCUAGCGAUUAUGUUGUCACAUUGGGUCUGUUGUAGGUGUAGAUGGGAAAGAGGU